AGCGCAGGCGGUCUUUUAAGUCUGAUGCGAAAGCCUUCGGCUUAACCGGAGAAGUGCAUCGGAAACUGGGAGACUUGAGUGCAGAAGAGGACAGUGGAACUCCAUGUGUAGCGGUGAAAUGCGUAGAUAUAUGGAAGAACACCAGUGGCGAAGGCGGCUGUCUGGUCUGUAACUGACGCUGAGGCUCGAAAGCAUGGGUAGCGAACA
rnacentral:rRNA from 1 species